rnacentral:lncRNA from 1 species
GCGCGCGCGCAGCUGAAACGCCGGCUGAUGAAACUGACAAAGGCGAGAGCGCGCAGCAGCCCACAGCAGCCGAGUUCGCGCCGCCGGUGGCUGGACUCAGACACAUCACGCUCCAGUUUGGGUUCCAAGGUGCUUCUCUCUGGAUUUUCACCUGCCUUGCCAAAAAUGAUUGAUUACGCUGGGCCAACUGGGUGUCCGGCAAUACCCAACAAAUGACUUUGGCCCCUAACAGCAGGUCUUGGCCAGACAGAAAUCAAUAUUUCACCAUUAAAAUCUAUCAAAGAAGAGUUAAGGCACCAUCUGUCCCUGCCGCCUCUCUAUGGUGUGUGAACAUUAAAUCCGACACUUGUACUACAUGGGUAAUCAAUAUAUAGUGGUUCACAGAUCAUUUGUGGUUCCCUUUUAGCAGUGAUGGAUGUCUGGAAUCGUUGUGAUUCAUUUUGUCAGACCAUUAAACAAGAUUCUGUCCAGUUCCUUCCU